CUGAGCCUGGGCUCCUCUCUGAGCCUGGGUUCCUCCUCUCUGAGCCCGGGCUCCUCUCUGAGCCUGGGUUCCUCCCCCUGCCCGGGCUCCUCUCUGAGCCCGGGUUCCUCUCUGAGCCCGGGCUCCUCUCUGAGCCUGGGUUCCUCUCUGAGCCUGGGUUCCUCCUCUGAGCCCGGGUUCCUCUCUGAGCCCGGGUUCCUCUCUGAGCCUGGGUUCCUCUCUGAGCCCGGGCUCCUCUCUGAGCCUGGGUUCCUCCUUUCUCCUGCAAUUCCUGGCUCUGGGCUCUGUUCCUGCUGUCCCACGGCUGCUCCAGCUGCAGGAGGGAGCUGCUGCCCCAGCCUUGGGGCUGUGGCUGAUUCCUGGAUUUGUUUGGGGAUGAGGGUGAACUUUGGGGGAUUCUGCUGUGACUUGCUGGGGUGUGGAUCACAGAGUUGUGGAUUCAUGGAAUGGUUUGGGUGGGAAGGAGCUUAGAGCCCAUCCUGUGCCACCCCUGCCCUGGCAGGGACACCUCCCACUGUCCCAGGGCUGCUUUGGGCACAAUUUGGGGCUGAUUUGGGGUCCCUGGCCUUGGGCACUGCCAGGGAUCCAAGGCCAGCCCCAGCUGCUCUGGGAAUUCCAUCCCAAAUUCAGGAAUUCCUUCCCAUCUCCCAUCCCUGCCCUCUGGCAGUGGAAGCCAUUCCCUGGCUCCUGUCCCUCCAGGCCCUCCUGCCCAGCACAUUCCCAGUGUCCAGGGCUGCUCCUGCAGCACCUGCAGAGGGAUGGGAAACCAAAAUCCUGGAAUGGUUUGGGUGGGAAGGGACCUUAACUCCCAUCCAGUGCCACCCCUGGGACACCUCCCACUGUCCCAGGUCACUCCCAGCCCGUCCAAGUGGCCCUGGACGCUCCCAGGCUGAGGCUUUGCAGCCCAAAGGUGAUUUUAGCCCUGCCCUUCCCUGUUUCCCUGCUCCCGUGGAAUUUGGGGCUCGUGGAGCACCCAGGGACCCCCAAGGCUGGGGAGCUCCAGGAUGGGAUGCAGGGAGCAGAGGGUGGCAAGGGAGGAGCCAGGAAUCCUUGCACAAGCCUGGUCCCACAGGGAGCUUUCCCAGGGAAGCUGAGCUCCUUUUGCCCAGGGAUGGCAGAAACCCAUCCCAGAGCCACAGGCUGCUCCUUUUCCUCCUUUUCCUGGCCACAACCUAUGCACAUUAUAGGAAUCCUCUAUCAAACUUGAAACAUUUAUUUCCCACACCUGUCUGCCCCGUUUCCCUGGCAGAAAUCAUGGAUAACCCCAUGGAACACGGGGGAACCCCUCAGGCUGAGCCUCUGCUGUGGCACCUGAGCUGUGGAGCAGGAGGAUUCUCCAUGGCACCGCUGCAGGGUUAAAAUGUAACCUGGAAGCAGAAUCCCAGCCUGAUCCAGGUCAUCAGCAGGGAGCUCCACCUGCGAGGGCAGGAGAAAGGGCUCAUUAAGCAGCUCCGUGUUCCCACGGGGAACAGAGAAUGCCCUGCUCAAAUAAGGCAAGGAGGAAGGAGAACAGCUCGUGCUGCCCCCAGCACCUCUCCAGGAACCCACGAUGUGACCACACCCGGAUUUUCUCACCUCGUGCGUGCUCAUUUCCAAACCCAACACUUCAUUUUCCUGCUUUUUCCCGGGGGUUUUCCUCCUUCCCAAGGCCCACACAGCAAUAAAUUGCCCUGCAGUAUCACA